UAUACGGGUUUUAAAAUAGAAAUUGUGUCUAAAAAUAACUGCUGUCUACGUUUCUCUAUUAAUUUUCUGGAGCUUUAUUUCAUGCAUGGUGUAAUAGUUAUUUGUUUUACAAGGGGGCAAAGUUGUUGUUUAACCGCUCGUGCUAUCUAAUAUUGAUACCCGAGUAAGCGAAAGAUUCCAAAAUUGAACCACGAGCGUAGCGAGUGGUUCGAGAAGUGGAAUCUUGAGCGUUGCGAGGGUUUCAAGGCACGAGAGUUAAAUAAAUUUUGCCAC